GUUGGGUAGGGGAGCGUUCUGUAAGCCUGCGAAGGUGUACUGUGAGGUAUGCUGGAGGUAUCAGAAGUGCGAAUGCUGACAUAAGUAACGAUAAUGCGGGUGAAAAACCCGCACGCCGGAAGACCAAGGGUUCCUGUCCAACGUUAAUCGGGGCAGGGUGAGUCGACCCCUAAGGCGAGGCUGAAAAGCGUAGUCGAUGGGAAACGGGUUAAUAUUCCCGUACUGGUGGUAACUGCGAUGGGGGAACGGAGAAGGCUAGGUUGUCCGGGCGACGGUCGUCCCGGUUCAAGCAGGUAGGCAGAGUGAUUAGGCAAAUCCGGUCACUUAAUGCUGAGAUGUGAUGACGAACCACUAAGGUGGUGAAGCAAUUGAUGCCCCGCUUCCAGGAAAAGCCUCUAAGCUUCAGGUUACCAACAAUCGUACCCCAAACCGACACAGGUGGUCAGGUAGAGAAUACUCAGGCGCUUGAGAGAACUCGGGUGAAGGAACUAGGCAAAAUGGUGCCGUAACUUCGGGAGAAGGCACGCUGGCGGUAGGUAAAGUCCCUCGCGGACGGCGCUGAAGCCAGUCGAAGAUACCAGCUGGCUGCAACUGUUUAUUAAAAACACAGCACUGUGCAAACACGAAAGUGGACGUAUACGGUGUGACGCCUGCCCGGUGCUGGAAGGUUAAUUGAUGGGGUCAGCCGUAAGGCGAAGCUCCUGAUCGAAGCCCCAGUAAACGGCGGCCGUAACUAUAACGGUCCUAAGGUAGCGAAAUUCCUUGUCGGGUAAGUUCCGACCUGCACGAAUGGCGUAAUGAUGGCCAGGCUGUCUCCACCCGAGACUCAGUGAAAUUGAACUCGCUGUGAAGAUGCAGUGUACCCGCGGCAAGACGGAAAGACCCCGUGAACCUUUACUAUAGCUUGACACUGAACAUUGAGCCUUGAUGUGUAGGAUAGGUGGGAGGCUUUGAAGUGUGGACGCCAGUCUGCAUGGAGCCAACCUUGAAAUACCACCCUUUAACGUUUGAUGUUCUAACCUAGGCCCAUAAACUGGGUCGGGGACCGUGUCUGGUGGGUAGUUUGACUGGGGCGGUCUCCUCCUAAAGAGUAACGGAGGAGCACGAAGGUUGGCUAAGCAUGGUCGGACAUCAUGCGGUUAGUGCAAAGGCAUAAGCCAGCUUGACUGCGAGAGUGACGGCUCGAGCAGGUACGAAAGUAGGUCUUAGUGAUCCGGUGGUUCUGAAUGGAAGGGCCAUCGCUCAACGGAUAAAAGGUACUCCGGGGAUAACAGGCUGAUACCGCCCAAGAGUUCAUAUCGACGGCGGUGUUUGGCACCUCGAUGUCGGCUCAUCACAUCCUGGGGCUGAAGUAGGUCCCAAGGGUAUGGCUGUUCGCCAUUUAAAGUGGUACGCGAGCUGGGUUUAGAACGUCGUGAGACAGUUCGGUCCCUAUCUGCCGUGGGCGUUGGAAGAUUGAGAGGGGUUGCUCCUAGUACGAGAGGACCGGAGUGAACGCACCACUGGUGUUCGGGUUGUCAUGCCAAUGGCAUUGCCCGGUAGCUAAGUGCGGAAGAGAUAACCGCUGAAAGCAUCUAAGCGGGAAACUUGCCUCGAGAUGAGUCUUCCCUGUCGCUUUAAGCGACCUAAAGGAACGUUUAAGACUAAGACGUUGAUAGGCUGGGUGUGUAAGCGUAGCGAUACGUUGAGCUAACCAGUACUAAUGAACCGUGAGGCUUAACCUGACAACACCGAA
rnacentral:rRNA from 1 species